UGACCACCCCGGCUCCCGGCCUCCAGCCGACCGGACUCCCGACACGACUUCCCCCGUGCCGGGCACCGGACGGAUGGGGACCAGGAGCCGGGAACCGGACACC
rfam:Knoellia aerolata DSM 18566 contig19, whole genome shotgun sequence.